GAGUUUGAUCCUGGCUCAGGACGAACGCUGGCGGCGUGCCUAACACAUGCAAGUCGAGCGGAGACAGUGAGUAGCUUGCUAUGAGCUGUUUUAGCGGCGGACGGGUGAGUAACGCGUGAGCAACCUUUCCCAGACAGGGGAAUAACACACCGAAAGGUGUACUAAUACCGCAUAAGACCACGGGAUCACAUGGUUCUGAGGUAAAAGAUUUAUCGGUUUGGGGUGGGCUCGCGUCCGAUUAGGUAGUUGGUGAGGUAACGGCCCACCAAGCCGACGAUCGGUAGCCGACCUGAGAGGGUGAUCGGCCACAUUGGGACUGAGACACGGCCCAAACUCCUACGGGAGGCAGCAGUGGGGAAUAUUGGGCAAUGGGGGAAACUCUGACCCAGCAACGCCGCGUGGAGGAAGAAGGUUUUCGGAUCGUAAACUCCUGUCCUUGGAGACGAGUAGAAGACGGUAUCCAAGGAGGAAGCCCCGGCUAACUACGUGCCAGCAGCCGCGGUAAUUC
rnacentral:rRNA from 1 species